GGGAGGAGGAGGCGGGAUGCUCCCUCAGCUGCCCCUGCCCCCGGGAUGCUGACCCCCGCACCCCCCCGGAAAGAGGCGAUCAAGGAUGCGCUCAUUUGGGGGCGGCUGCAGGUGACACGGGGGUUCCGCGAUGCGCAGGGCCCGGGAGCCGGGGAUUCCUCUUUCCCGAUGGUUUUAUGGAGCUGGGAGAUUUGUGCCCGAGAUUCCCUGCACACCUGAAGGAAAGACAUUAACAUAGAGACAAACGGAACACGCAGUGGCCGAGGAGACAAAGCCGCCUUUCAUGCCUGUUCCUGCUGCCUCUCGUUAAUAAACAAAUGCUUUUCCCUGCA